AAACCAUGCACCGAAGCUGCGGCAGCGACACUAUGUGUUGUUGGGUAGGGGAGCGUUCUGUAAGCCUGCGAAGGUGACCUGUGAGGGUUGCUGGAGGUAUCAGAAGUGCGAAUGCUGACAUAAGUAACGAUAAAGCGGGUGAAAAGCCCGCUCGCCGGAAGACCAAGGGUUCCUGUCCAACGUUAAUCGGGGCAGGGUGAGUCGACCCCUAAGGCGAGGCCGAAAAGGCGUAGUCGAUGGGAAACAGGUUAAUAUUCCUGUACUUGGUGUUACUGCGAAGGGGGG
rnacentral:rRNA from 1 species